rnacentral:rRNA from 1 species
AUGAAGGGACGGGGUGCUAACCUGGGGCGGGACCUCCGCGAGCGUAAGAAGGCCUUGUUGGCCGCCAUCCAAGUCUUAGACGAGUGGCUCUCUCGCUACGACUUAGAAGACCAGCUCUCCGUUAUCUAUACUGAUGAGGAGGCAUACUGGCGCCUCCGCGGGGCCCAGAAAUGGGUCUUGAAGGGCGACGCAAACACGGGCUACUUUCAGGCCAUUGCGAAUGGCCGACGUAGACGCAACACCACCCCCCUCCUCUGGGAUGGUGCCUCCCUUUUGCAGGAUCCCCGUGACAUCCGUAGCCAUGUCGACGGUUUCUAUAGGUCCUUGUUCUCUGCCUCUCCUAGGUGCAGCCUCUCCCUGGCGCCUGAUUGCUGGACCGGCUCCCAGCUGGUCUCUGCUGAGGAGAAUGCAGCCCUCACGGCCCCUUUCUCCGAGGACGAGGUCUAG